rnacentral:rRNA from 1 species
GUUAGGAAUUUUGCGCAAUGGACGAAAGUCUGACGCAGCAACGCCGCGUGAGUGAUGAAGGCCCUCGGGUCGUAAAGCUCUUUUAGUUGGAACGAAACAAACGACGGUACCAGCAGAAAAAGCACCGGCUAACCCUGUGCCAGCAGCCGCGGUAAUACAGGGGGUGCAAGCGUUACUCGGAUUUACUGGGCGUAAAGAGCGUGUAGGCGGUUUGUUAAGUCUAGUGUGAAAGCCCUGGGCUCAAUCCAGGAAGUGCAUUGGAUACUGGCAGACUAGAGUGCAGGAGGGGUUGGCGGAAUUCCCGGUGUAGAGGUGAAAUUCGUAGAUAUCGGGAGGAACAACAGAGGCGAAGGCGGCCAACUGGACUGUUACUGACGCUAAGGCGCGAAAGCGUGGGGAGCAAACAGGAUUAGAUACCCUAGUAGUCC